UACGUAGGGGGCAAGCGUUAUCCGGAUUCACUGGGCGUAAAGGGAGCGCAGGCGGCAUGGCAAGUCUGAUGUGAAAACCCGGGGCCCAACCCCGGGAGUGCAUUGGAAACUGCCAGGCUGGAGUGUCGGAGGGGUAAGCGGAAUUCCUAGUGUAGCGGUGAAAUGCGUAGAUAUUAGGAGGAACACCAGUGGCGAAGGCGGCUUACUGGACGACUACUGACGCUGAGGCUCGAAAGCGUGGGGAGCGAACAGG
rnacentral:rRNA from 1 species